rnacentral:rRNA from 1 species
UACGUAGGUGGCGAGCGUUGUCCGGAUUUACUGGGUGUAAAGGGCGUGUAGGCGGGACUGCAAGUCAGAUGUGAAAUACCGGGGCUCAACCCCGGGGCUGCAUUUGAAACUGUGGUUCUUGAGUGCGGGAGAGGAAAGCGGAAUUCCUAGUGUAGCGGUGAAAUGCGUAGAUAUUAGGAGGAACACCGGUGGCGAAGGCGGCUUUCUGGACCGUAACUGACGCUGAGGCGCGAAAGCGUGGGUAGCAAACAGGAUUAGAUACC